CGGAGAUUGCCUCUGAGUAUUUGUGGUUUCCUCUUCCCCGGGACUUCCGAAUGCUUGUGUGGAGGGAACAGAUAACUGUGAAGUUACCAGCUUUUCAUGCCCCUACAGCUGUUUUGUGUGGAGACCUGCCCUCCAGACUGCCUAAGACCUGAUUCGUACAUUUGUACCAAAAUGAUUUGCAUGCUGCGCAGAAAGGCAGAUGAGUUUGUUUGGCUAUUCCAGAAGAAGUGAUUUAGGAAGCUGGACUGUGUUUUGAGAUUUGGAGCCUGUCAGUAUAUCAUACUGAAAUGUUUGCUUUGUUUUUAUAAA